UUUAAUACACACUAAGCCUUAAAGGCACCAGAUCCCAUCUGUUCUUGGAAAUUCAGUAGGGUCUACUCUGGUUAGUGUAUGAAUGGAGGACCAUUGAUGAACACCAGGUGUUGUAGGC
rnacentral:rRNA from 11 species